GCAUAGCUCAGUGGUUAGAGCACCUGCUUUGCAUGCAGAAGGUCUCAGGUUCAAUCUCCAACUAGCGUCUCCA